ensembl:snRNA U6 U6 spliceosomal RNA
GUGCUCACUUCGGCAGCACAUACACUAAAAUUGGAACGAUACAGAGAAGAUUAGCAUGGCCCCUGCGCAAGGAUGACACACAAAAAGGAGGAGAGACAGAGAAGAAGAUCUUC